rnacentral:lncRNA from 1 species
CAUGCGUAGAAGGCCCGGAAGAGGCACAACCGGGCGGAAGUGGUGUUGCAAGGAUGCGGUUGCGGGGUCCUAGUGCCCGCCGGGAACCGGAAAUGGGUCCUCCAAACACCAGCCCCGCCCUUUCCGUGCGGGCGCUCUACCCUCCGCGCCUUUGUGGUAUCCCUCGCUGCGCCGCGAGCGGUGGCGUCACUUCCGGUGGCGCUCUGGGCGGUGCGUCUCGGUGGUUCCGGCGUGAGGGCGGCAGUGGUGAAAGUCACUUUGACGGGAACUGCGGCGAUCGGUGACUGGGAGGAACUGGGAGAGACUGGGGGGGGUACUGGGAGCACUGGGAAGGGCAUUAGUGCUUUACUGGGAGCACUGGGAAGGGCUCCUGGGCCUUACUGGGAGCACUGGGAAGGCUUCUGGUGCUUUACUGGGAGAGCUAGGCCUUACUGGGAGCACUGGGAAGGGCAUUGGUGCUUUACUGGGAGCACUGGGAAGGGUUCCUGGGCCUUACUGGGAGCACUGGGAAGGGUUCCUGGGCCUUACUGGGAGCACUGAGAAGGCCAUUAGUGCCUUACUGGGAGCGCUGGGCCUUACUGGGAGCACUGGGAAGGGUCUCAGGGCCUUACUGGGAGCACUGGGAGGGCCAUUAGUGCCUUACUGGGAGCGCUGGACCUUACUGGGAGCACUGGGAAGCCCAUUAGUGCCUUACUGGGAGCACUGGGCCUUACUGGGAGCACUGGGAAGGGCAUUAGUGCCUUCCUGGGAGCCCUGGGAAGGGACUUGGUCCUUUACUGGGAGCACUGGGAAGGGCAUUAGUGCCUUACUGGGAGCGCACUGGGCCUUACUGGGAGCACUGGGAAGGGUUCUUGGGCCUUACUGGGAGCACUGGGCCUUACUGGGAGC